GCUCCGGGCUGCGGGCAGCUCCUCCUUGGGAUCGCUGCUCGGGCUCCUCAUUUCCCAGCGCCGGAAAAAGGACGUGAAUUUUUACCUGGGGGGUCUGAGGGGUCCAGCAAGGACCAGCAAGGCGCAGCCUCGCGCGGUGGAGUGUAACGAAUUCGGAGGAAUUCUUAGAGCUGAACAUGUUUUUUGAAAAAUC